GCAUAUCAAUAAGCGGAGGAAAAGAAACCAACAGGGAUUGCCUCAGUAACGGCGAGUGAAGCGGCAACAGCUCAAAUUUGAAAUCUGGCUCCUUCGGGGCCCGAGUUGUAAUUUGCAGAGGAUGCGUCGGGUACGGGUGCCUUCCGAGUUCCCUGGAACGGGACGCCAUAGAGGGUGAGAGCCCCGUCUGGUAGGACACCCAGCCCGUGUGACGCUCCCUCGACGAGUCGAGUAGUUUGGGAAUGCUGCUCUAACGGGAGGUAUACUCCUUCCAAGGCUAAAUACCGGCUGGAGACCGAUAGCGCACAAGUAGAGUGAUCGAAAGAUGAAAAGCACUUUGAAAAGAGAGUCAAACAGCACGUGAAAUUGUUAAAAGGGAAGCGCUCGCUACCAGACUUGGGUUCGGCGGUUCAACCGGGGCCACGCCCCGGGGCAUUCCGCCGGCCCAGGCCAGCAUCAGCUUUCCGUCGGGGGUAAAGGCGUCGGGAAUGUGGCUCCCCUUCGGGGGAGUGUUAUAGCCCGUCGUGUCAUACCCUUCGGGGGGCUGAGGUACGCGCUUCUGCAAGGAUGCUGGCGUAAUGGUAGCUAGUGACCCGUCUUGAAACACGGACCAAGGAGUCAACCUUAUGUGCGAGUGCCCGGGCGUAAAACCCCAGCGCGGAAUGAAAGUGAACGUAGGUGAGAGCUUCGGCGCAUCACCGACCGAUCCUGAUGUCCUCGGACGGAUUUGAGUGAGAGCAUAUAGGGUUGGACCCGAAAGAAGAUGAACUAUGCGUGUGUAGGGUGAAGCCAGAGGAAACUCUGGUGGAGGCUCGCAGCGGUUCUGACGUGCAAAUCGAUCGUCAAACAUGCGCAUGGGGGCGAAAGACUAAUCGAAUCUUCUGGUAGCUGGUUUCCGCG
rnacentral:rRNA from 1 species